rnacentral:rRNA from 1 species
UACAGGGGGGGCAAGCGUUGUUCGGAAUUACUGGGCGUAAAGGGUCUGUAGGUGGCCAACUGAGUCAGACGUGAAAUCCCUCAGCUUAACUGGGGAACUGCGUCUGAUACUGGAUGGCUCGAGUGUGGGAGAGGAAUGCGGAAUUCCAGGUGUAGCGGUGAAAUGCGUAGAUAUCUGGAGGAACACCGGUGGCGAAGGCGGCAUUCUGGACCAUAACUGACACUGAGAGACGAAAGCCAGGGGAGCAAACGGG